AAAACCCCCAAGGGGCUUCUGGGUUGAUGAAGACUUGGAAAUGGGGGAAGAGGGACCUAUCCAGCGUGAGCACUGAGGCUCCAUGCCCUUUCCCCAGGCUUUGCCCCAUACAUCGUUUCCAUUUGGAUGUUCCUCUUUAUAACAGGCAAUCUGCCAUGGAGGAAAAGCCACGGGAAGCCAUUCCAAAGGAGCUCCACUGCAAUCACUGCAAUGCUGAUUGUGAGCCUGUCACUUGAAGAGAAAUUCUGUUUACUCCUUCCAUUUCCCAGAGCUGCUUUUUCUGUCUUCCUAGUCUUGUAGUUGGUCUUAUUUCAUGCUUUGCUAUUAAAGCCAUUGUGUUAUCAAGGUAUCCCCCCC